AAUUUUCCCCAAUGGGCGCAAGCCUGAGGGAGCAACGCCGCGUGCAGGAAGACGGCCUUCGGGUUGUAAACUGCUUUUGAGGGAGAAGAGAUGGACGGUAUCCCUCGAAUAAGCCCUGGCUAACUCUGUGCCAGCAGCCGCGGUAAUACAGAGGGGGCAAGCGUUGUCCGGACUGACUGGGCGUAAAGCGCACGCAGGCGGUUGUGGGCGUCGGUGCUGAAAGUCCACUGCUUAACAGUGGAACGCGUGCCGAUACGCCACAACUGGAGCUAUGCAGAGGUCUGUGGAAUUGCCGGUGUAGUGGUGAAAUGCGUAGAGAUCGGCAGGAACACCAAAGGGGAAGCCAGCAGACUGGGCAUAUGCUGACGCUCAUGUGCGACAGCGUGGGGAGCGAA
rnacentral:rRNA from 1 species